rnacentral:lncRNA from 1 species
UAUGGAAUUUUAAAAAACACAACUUGGAAUAAAAAUACAGUGACGUUGCCUUAAUCUUUUAAAUGUAAAAUAAACAAAAGUCUUCAUUUUUUAAAGCUUUAAUUUGGGUCCAUACUGUCAGUUUCUGUAUUCAAGCCUCAAAUAAUCACUCUUUCUGUAAAUAAAAUAGACUGAAAGAGUCUUGUUUUCCAUGAAGGACACUGGAGCUUUUGGUCUUGGGAGCCACUGUGGACAGCAUCCUCAGUGUCUAGCUUUGCCCCUCCUCCUCCUGCCAUCUGAUUGGGGAUGCAUAGGAACUGCCCAUCUCCUACACCUGUGAUACAGGGUGGAUUUGGCUGGAUCUGCAAGACUAGAUCUUGCCCCUUUCCUCCUCACCACUCCCUUGGAGGGCUGUGCCCUCCACUAAGAGAUGGACUAUCAGGUAAGGCCAGGCCCUGUUUAGCUGGGGUACAUACCAGAAAAUGUGCUUCCUUGCCAAAUGCCUCCACAUAAGCUCUCAAGGCCCAUUUGUGAGAGAAAGUAGAUUGUUGUGCUCCUAUGUGAAAUUGAAUUAAGCUUGGGGACACUUUGGAACAUAGAUGGUUGAUUUGUUUUUUUAAAAAAGCAAAAGUCUGAUUUUUAGCAUCCACAUAAGACUUUCUUACCUAUGGAUUUACCCCUCAACUAUAAAAAUUCUUUCUUUGAAGUUGAAAUAAAAAAAAUAUCUAAAGCUGCAUCUGCCCUGAGGUCAUUGUUCUAUGGAGGUCAUAUAUAUACUGUAAUACAGAGGAAGUUUGAAUUGGCAAUAUUUUGUACUUCCACGCUAGUGAAUUUUCUUGUACUUGUGUAGAGAGGUAUCUGUAUAUUUUUGGAGUGCAAAUCCUAGAAAGAAGUUG